CGUGCUUUAUGGAGCUAAGCCUUGCCCAGAAGAGGAAAGAAGACAGCAGAGACAGCUCAGGGAGUGUGGCAGGAUGCUGUCAUGACCCUGUGUAAGACUCCAGCUGAGUGCUGUGUGUAUUUAUAGACACACACACACACAGACACGCAGGCAUGGGAAACGUGCCCUGGAACAAACGUACUGUUUGUUUCCUGGAAACAUGCCCUUCCUUGCCAACUUGCCAGAUUUCCCAGAUCACAUCAUCCUGAAGCAGGGAAAAUUAUGUCUUCUUAUUCCUGGCAUCCACCUGCCACAUGAAGAGAGAUCUUUGGAAAACGGAUCUGACCACUUCUCUGCCCUUUGGAAGACUGGAGCGAUUUCACCUUGUCCUCGGCCCAACCCAGCUGUGUCCCACCCCAUCGUCCCAAAGAGAGUUUGGCUGGGAACUCCAAGCUCCUCCCUUCCUCUGGAGAGGCUGGGUUGGAGCUUAGGCCCCAGGAAGAGGGCGAGGCAUGUGAGUAUGCCCUGAAGGUAGAGGGCUGGGUGAUGCUGCUGAAGCUGCCCUUUGUCCAGUUUUCUUGGGAUUCCCACUGGUACCUUCCUCAGGGAGAAAAAAAAAAUCACUUCCCUCCUUCUUGGACUUGGUUUCCUAAGAAAGCAACACUUCCAAGUGCCUGUCAUGGCUCACUGGUUAACGAAUCCAACUAGCAUCCAUGAGGACGUGGGUCCGAUCCCUGGCCUUGCUCACUGGGUUAAGGAUCUGGUGUUGCCAUGAGCUGUGGUGCAGGUCACAGAUGUGCCUCGGAUUCUGCAUUGCUGUGGCUGUGGUGUAGGUUGGCAGCUACAGCUCUAAUUCGGCCCCGAGCCCGGGAACCUCCAUAUACUUCAGGUGCCUGCAGCCCUAAAAAGACAAAAGACAAGAGAGAGAAAGAAAGAAAGAAAGAAAGAAAGAAAGAAAGAAAGAAAGAAAGAAAGAAAGAAAGA
rnacentral:lncRNA from 1 species